UGGAACGUCGUCUAACGGCAGGACAGCGGACUCUGACUCCGCCCAUGAAGGUUCGAAUCCUUUCGUUCCAGCCA
rnacentral:tRNA from 1 species